UCUGAGCCGCAGCGAGGAUCAGGGAGGGGUUUGUGGUGGCAUCCAGGGGCUUGUACUCAUCUAUGGCUAAGGAAAGAAAACCAGCCUGUUUGAAACAGCCAGCCUGCCUGAGAAAUCAGAAGGGUUUUGCUCAGCCAGAUCCCUCCCAGGAAAUGAUCAGGAUCCUGGAGUGUGGUCUACUCCAUGCAAACAGCUCCUUCAGAACUUCAGUUCACGUGGGUACUGCAUAAAGCAUCUGUACUGACACCUUCUACAAACACCACUGGGAGCCAGCAGCUGCAACAACCACCAGGGUUUAACUUGCCAGGAGUGAGCCAGAAACUUUCGCCUCCUGUGCUUGCCAUGCUGCUUCCCUUCACCCUCUUCCAGAGCCAGGGCUUCUCAGGAGGAUUGUCCUCUUCAUCCCUCCCUGACAAGGUGAGAUGGUGCCAGUGGCCUCCCCAGCUCCUUCUCCAGGGAAGGACGAGCGUUUCAUGUGGCAACAGAGCAAAUCUUACUCUUUGCUGAAUGACUUGGCCUCCAGCCAGGCUUUGACUUCUUCAGUGCUGGAUUCAAAGCAGCUCGUCGUUCAGCUCAUCCAUUUGGUGAAUAAGUUCUGCAGAAACAGGUCCAAGAAAGAUGAAGAGUGAAACCCUCCCUGUCCUGCCCAGUGGAAACAACUGCCCCAGAUGCCACAGCAGGGAGCAGCUGGGGGAAGAGGAAUUGAAAAUCCAAGCAGGCAGAACCCACUGGAAAUCUGUGGGAUUUUUAUCAGGCUGAAUUCUGCAAGUUCCCAGGAAAACUGAGUGAAGUACUAUCUGUUGAAUUAAAAAAACAUUUGCUGUAUGGAAAAACAGUCUUGCCUUGUGAAAGGACAGGUAGGAACAAUUUUAAUGCACUUCCCAGGGAUCUUUUUGCUUAUGAAAUGUAACCUGCACAGAUACCUGAUGCCAUAUUCACUGGGGCUCAGGGUCUCCUUCAGCUGUUGUAACUCGGGGUAAUCAGUGCUUCCAGCACUGCCAGCAGCUCUGCUUUUCCCUUUCUGACCUACUGGCUUUGGCCAGUGGUUUGAAAUCCAUGUACUGGGGAAGCUCAGUUCUUUGUUCACUGUAAAACCUGGCAAUGGAAAUUGAGCCCAUUGUACUUAGUUUAAAUUAAUUCUCCUGCCCUCAUGAGCUGUGUUAGGUGGUCAGAAGGAGGUUGAAACCACUAAUUUAGUGCUGGAUACCACAGCAGUGGUUGCAGCGUUGUCUUUAGCUCACGUGUUUUGGGACAGCUCCUGGUCUGGUUAUACCCCUGUGGAACAUUUCAGUUGUAACUCCACAGUGGGGGAGAGCUUGGAGGAGUCAAAUGAAUCCAGCGGGCCAGGGAGGGAGAGCUGCCUUUGCCCAGCAGUGCCCUGAGGGCCAGGAGGAGAAGGGAAUCCCACUUAGGUUGGAAUUCCUUCUUCUGUGGCAUUCCAGAAGGUAACUGAGUCAGGAGGGAGGAGUUUGGGGCUGGUGUGUGCUUUGUGUGCACCUGGGCUGUGCAAGGGGACCUGUGCUGAAGGUUGUGCUGCUCUGGGGCUCCCGGGGCCCUUCUCUGCAGCCAGGAGCCAAGCUGUAAAUAACUGCAGUACUGGGGGGUGGCUCUUUGUGCUCAUCUGGGGUCUCCUGGCUGGAAAACUUGGUCAGACUGCUCUGAAAGGAGCAAGAGCACAGCAGGAAAAAUGUCUGUCCCAGGGCUGUCAUCCUGGCAGAUUAACAAUUCACUUGCAGGGUUUUUUUUUCUGAUGUGUUAUCCAUAAGGGAAAAUUGCUGCUGAGGGUGUGAAAGGUGGAAAUGUUUCCCCACAUGUGUUGUCUGCCAGUCAUUAAAAAGAGACUCCAAUCUUGUCGUGUAAACUAAAUUCCUUAUUUUUCCCAACCUCACCAAGACAUCUGGAAUUGGAGAAGAGAAAUGAUCCUCAUUAUUUCCCUGCUCCACACUGCACCUGGACCACUUGAUGUUCCUACCAGGGCUUGGGGCAGCAGAAUCUUGGUGGCCGCAGUUGGGAACUCAGUGAAUUGGAGCAAAGCUGAAGGGUUUGUCCACUAAGAGAAGCGGUGAAUUAUAAACCAACACAGAGUGAUAUUCCACACCAGGGAUUUGGGAUUGGUGAUGGUCCCAAUCCAUCAUCUUUCUGUUCAUUUUCUUUUGGAUGCUGCAGCCUGCUGGGCUGGGGGAGCUGUUCCUUUGCAUUUAAUUUUCUGUAUUCUGUAAAUUCUCUGUGGAAAUCUGCUUUUAAUAAAAAGGCUCUUGAUGAUGUCCCAGAUUCCUGGGAUUCACAGGUGUGUGUUCAGACCAAGGAAUGUUCUGGCUGGCAGAAGCUGCACCAAUCUCCCAGGAAUCUCAAUCUGGGUUUGUCUUUGCUCCCAGUUCUCCUCAGUUUGGGUUGCAGUGCAGCCCUGCCCUGUGGAUCUCCCAGAAGAGUUUUGGGGUUAAAAAGGUUCUUUCCUAUUCUGCAGUUUUUCUCUAGAAUUCAAUAAAAAAGAAUAAAACUGUA